GGAGUGCGCACCGAGCGGCAGUGACUUCGCCGCUGCUGUAGUUCCCCGGCUGGAUGCGGUGACUGGUGCCAGUGCUCAGGCGCCCGCUGCCCUUGACCUCCCGCCCCGCGAGCCCUAACUCAGCGCAGGAGGACCGGCUGCCGCCGCCGCCGCCGCCAGGAGGUAGAUUGGGAAGUGGAGCUGGCCGUGGUCAUUGGAAAGAAAGGCAAGCACAUCAAGGUGAAGUGGAAAAGCUUUGAGAUCCCUUGCCACAGGUGUUGGUGUCACCCAUGAUCUAUCCUCCUGUAUGGCCAAAUCCCCUGCCCCCAUAGGCCACAGAUGCCAUGGCCCACGUGGCCGGCUUCACUGUGGCUCAUGACGUGAGUGCUCGUGACUGGCUAACAAGAUGCAAUGGGAAACAGUGGCUGCUGGGAAAAACCUUCGACACCUUCUGCCCUCUGGGCCCUGCCUUGGUGACCAAGGACAGUGUAGCAGAUCCACACAACUUAAAGAUCUGCUGUCGAGUGAAUGGGGAAGUGGUCCAGAGCAGCAACACCAACCAGAUGGUAUUCAAGACAGAGGACCUGAUAGCCUGGGUGUCCCAGUUUGUUACCUUUUACCCAGGGGAUGUCAUCCUGACUGGGACCCCCCCACCUCCACCCAGGUGUCGGUGUAUUCAGGAAACCUCCUGUCUUUCUCAAGGUCUCUGAAGGUCCAGACAGCACUGAUGGCGAGCUUUGGGUCCGCACACUCUGGAAAGAAGAGAGAAGUGAAGGCUCUAGGUAGGGAGAACAGAGAGCCACUGGGCACAGGCUUCUCUCCUCUUGUUUAAAGAAGCCCAGGGAGGGAUAGAGCUCUGACUGGACAGAAGACUGUACUCUGCAGCCUGCCUUCCUAGAGUUGGGUUGUCACUGUCCUGCAGGGGGCAGCAGCCACCAGCAAACACCACUGCCUGCAGGAGCCUGGGCUGACUGGUUGGGACUCACCGAAGAUCCCUUCUUCCUGGGCGGUGGCCUGCAGGAACUGGAACAGCUGCUCUGUGUAGCCCAACUCUGCAGAAGAGAGAAGACCUAGACCUGGCACCCAGCACAGACACAGCCUGCCUCGAGGACUGCAAGGGAACAAGGGCCUCACCAGUAUCGGGCAGCUGGCCCUGGCGGAGGAAGGCGGCAGCCUGUGCAAAGGCCUUGAGCAGCGGGCUGAGCAGGCGGCAGAGGAAAAGAAAGAAAUCUGGGCAGUGUGACUGCUGGCUGAGCUGGAGGGGACAGGCCGGGGUGAGUGCAGCUCCCCACCGCCUCCCUACCACCUCCCUCCAGGGGCAGCUUUUUGAAACACACCCUGAAGUACCGGCCGUCAGCCUCUCCGAAGUCAUCACUGUCACUAUCAGUAAAGUCCCCACUCGGUUUCCACAGCA
rnacentral:lncRNA from 1 species